UGGGGAAUAUUGCACAAUGGGGGGAAACCCGUGAUGCAGCGACGCCGCGUGAGUGAAGAAGUAUUUCGGUAUGUAAAGCUCUAUCAGCAGGGAAGAAAAUGACGGUACCUGAGUAAGAAGCCCCGGCUAACUACGUGCCAGCAGCCGCGGUAAUACGUAGGGGGCGAAGCGUUAUCCGGAUUUACUGGGUGUAAAGGGAGCGUAGACGGCGAGACAAGUCUGAAGUGAAAACCCGGGGCUCAACCCUGGGACUGCUUUGGAAACUGCCUGGCUGGAGUGCAGGAGAGGUAAGUGGAAUUCCUAGUGUAGCGGUGAAAUGCGUAGAUAUUAGGAGGAACAC
rnacentral:rRNA from 1 species